GCGAGUUCUAUCGGGUAAA
rnacentral:sRNA from 1 species